ACGGUGCUUCCGGCGAGAAAUAGGUAAAUUAAAGGCACUAGAGCAACUCCUUCUACGAGAUACUCGAUCCCUUUCUGCAUUACCAGAUAGCAUAGGAUCUUUGGAGAACCUAGAGAUUCUAGAGAUUUCUCAAAGUCAUAUAAGAGAAUUACCCAAUAGUAUUGGGAGGUUGAGAAAACUCCGAGAGCUACAUGCUUGCUAUUGCAUAAAUUUGAAUGGGGAAAUGGCAGAAAGCAUGUGCAAUCUUUCUUCCUUACGACACCUUGAUUUUCUUUGCUGCUUCAAGCUCCAAUCGCUGUCGGACCUUCCUUCUAGCUUAACAAAUUUGGGCAUCACCUGUCGAACCCGGAAAUUGCCUAGGCUUUCCCACCUAACCCAUCUCAAGGAACUACGAGUUUAUUCCUGCAAUUCUCUCGAGUGCAUCCAAGUGCUUCCAUCAACAUGCUCCCAAUCGACGGACCUUGAAGAAUCGAAAUCACCACAAUCCCUUAACACGCCUUUCAAAUUGGAAAUCUUAAAAGUCAGGGGCUGUUAUUCUAUCAAAACAGUGGAUGUUUCACAGUUUAUCCAUCUAAUGAUAUUAUACGUCGAACAGUGUCAUAAUCUACUUGAAGUUCAAGGUCUUGACAAAUCGAUAUAUUUGGAAAGCUUGACUGUCACAUAUUGCAAUUCAAUCGAACGGUUGGACCUUCGAAAGUUUGAGGAUAUGAAGAAAUUGAAUGUUGAAGGCUGUGACAAAUUAGCUGAAAUUCAAGACCUUGAUAGGUCGGAGUAUUUGGAAAGUUCCAAAUUGUGCACUUCAACUGAAAGGCUAGACCUUCCAAAAUGCAGGAGGCUGAAGGAAGUAAACACUAGACACUGCAAAAACUUAGCCAAAAUUGAAGGCCUCGAUGGGUUGGAGUAUUUGGAAAGGCUAGAUAUCUACCAGUGCACUUUAAUUGAAAGACUAGACCUUCCAAAAUUCGGGAGGCUGAAGGAAUUAGAUGCCGAAGAAUGCGAAAAAUUAGUCGAAAUUCAAGGCCUCGAUGGGUUGGAGUAUUUGGAAAGGCUAAAUAUCGAAGGGUGCACUUUAAUUGAAAGGCUAGACCUUCCAAAAUCUGGAAGGCUGAAGGAAUUAAAACUUAAAGGCUGCGUAAACUUAGCCGAAAUUCAAGGCCUCAAUAGGUCAGAGUAUUUGCAAAUGCUACAUAUCCGUUGGUGCACUUCAAUAGAAAGGCUAGACCUUCUAAAAUUCAGGAGGCUGAAGGAAUUAAUUGCUGAAGGCUGCGAAAACUUAGCCGAAAUUCAAGGUCUCGAUAGGUCGGAGUAUUUGGAGAGGCUAGACAUCACAUGGUGCACUUCAAUGGGAAGGCUAGACCUUUCAAAAUCCGGGAAGCUGAAGGAAUUAAAAGUUGGAGGCUGCAAAAACUUAGUCGAAAUUCAAGGUCUCGAUAGGUCAGAGUAUUUGGAAAGUCUAGAUAUCAUAGGGUGUACUUCAAUUGAAAGGCUAGACCUUCCAAAAUCCGGGAGUCUAAAGAAAUUAACAGCUGGAGGCUGCAAAAACUUAGCCGAAAUUCAAGGCCUUGAUAGGUCGGAGUUUUUGGAAAGACUAGAUAUCUCUAAGUGCACUUCAAUUGGAAGGCUAGACCUUCCAAAAUCUGGAAGCUUGAAGAUAUUAAAUGCUUGUUCAUGCAAGAAAUUAGCCGAAAUUCAAAGCCUCGAGAGGUUGGAGUACUUGGAAAUAUUGGAUAUCUCUAGGUGCACUUCAAUUGAAAGGUUGCUCCUUCCAAAAUCUAGGAGUCUGAAGAAAUUAAAAGCUAGAGACUGCGAAAACUUGAUUGAAAUUCAAGGUCUCGAUAGGUUGGAGUUUUUGGAAGAAUUGAAUAUCAUUGGAUGCAAGUCGCUCAAAACAAUUCCAGAAUUAUCUGGAAUGCGGAUUUAUCGAUAUCAUGAGAUUACAGAUGGCAAAACAAGAGCAUUAGGAUUAGACUAUAUGGAUGACUCGGAUGAGUGAUAUACUGAAAUGAUCCACAUUUUCUAGUGAAGGUACAUAAAGCAGGAAUCCAAGGGAGAUGUUUUGCUUAUCAUGCCGGUAAUGGAAAUAGAUAAAAAGGCUUUCUAAGCGCAUCAUUUGUCAUUAAUCUUGGGGGUAUUGGAUAGCAUGCUAAACGUCAUUAUGUAGGUCGAGAAAUGCUGAGUGAAGAACCUAUAUGGCCAUCCUUCUAAUGUGAGGUUUUAGUUGGCUCUACACUCACCAUGCAGUUCAUGACUGCAUAUUUCUAAGGCCACUGGUUGAUGUGAGUGCUGAAAUAUCCAAGAGAGUUUUCGCAAGGCACUUCUAAAAGGAAACAAAAUCAUCAAAGGAUGAGGUGCUUGAUGUAUCUUAAACUUCUCCAGAUUCUGACAAUGCAUCCUUGGAAUGGUAAACGUUUAACAUCAUUAUGCUAAGGUCCUGAUGGCAAGGUUGCUGUCUUCGGACUUAAAGAUAGUGCAGUUUCACUGCAUGAUGUAGAAGUAAGUUUUCCAUGCUAUUAUUGUAACGUUACCCUCAUUACUUCUCAACCAUAAAUUCCUUCUGCAAGAAUCCUUUAUCAUCAUAAUGUGUUCUUCUCUUAUCUCUCUUGAGAAAUAUUCUGAAUUGCUCAAAAGCUGCGCGAUGCAAUGCAAACAUCAAGCUUGCUGAAUGAACAUUUAGCUGCUAAUAGAGAUGGCAAUCCAUGUUUACUGGCCAUGUUUGGCAAUGUCGAGUUAAUACGGACUAUUAGAUAGGCCAAUAUGAGCAGGAUAAGCUUAACAAAUCUUAUUAGAUCAUUGAACAUGGCCCAUUUGUUAAAUAGGUCAGCAAAUGAGAAGAGAUGAAUAGCCUUAAUGAAUUGUUUGUUACACAUGUCAUACAUAAGUAAUAGAUUCAAUAGAUUUAUACACUUUAGGACUUGAAUCUAAUUGAUGUGCUGCAUUCUCAUGUCGGAUAGGACUGAUGUUGUCAUUGAUGAUUGAAAAUGCUUCAAAUGUCAAUGACAAAUUUCUGCAUAGCGUUUGCAGAGGUCGAGCUGAUUGUGAGGAUUUACACUCUAAGCGGAUGGUGUCAAUAGAAACCAUCAUCUAUGACAUGCUCAUUUUCAUCAAAAUAAUAGUUUAUUUUGACUAUUGAAACUCAAAUAUGUUCAGUUCAGUCAAAUUAAAAGGUUGUGGUUUAGGUGACUUCUAAAUGAUAGAAUUUGUAUGUGCUUUAAUUAUGCUUGUGGGUUGAAAAGUUCAUAGAUAACUGCUUAUGUCAUUAAGCUAUAGCUGUUUGGUCAUGAGUACAAUGGCUGCGAAUUUGGUUGAUGCUGUUACAUUUCUUUCUUUGAGAAUUCUACAAAUUUAUUAACCAUCAUCCAUCUCAUGGACUGCGUUUUACUUGGAAGAGGGUUUGUUUUUACAUAAUAUAUAAUGAAUGUUAUCUUCCGAUCUGGCUUUCUUUAAUUAACUAUGGAUAUGUGGUGUGCUACUUUUUAUAUGCUAGUGCUUGCAGUAGUUAUACAUGCUGUGUUAUAAUAGUUUCUAACAAGGGAUAAAUAUUAAGCAAAACGAGAAACUGUUAUGAGGCUUGAAGUCCUAUGCGGCAGCUGUGUUGUGUCUCAACUGGGAGGAAGAUGCCCAAAUGAACAGAUCCAACAGCUAGUAUGGGUUUAUGGAAGAUUUUCUAAAUCAUCAAAGGAUCAGGAGCUCGAUGUUUCUUGGACUUCUCCAACACUGACAAUGUAUCCUUCGAAUGAUGUGGAUCUUCAUGCUAGAAGGAAGCAAUUCGAUGCUUGCCAGCUAAAGUUUGUGGGGUUGAUAAGAGGUUCUUACUAUGGGAAGCUGUUGUCAGAGUUGGCUUGGAACAGAAUGGAAACUGUUAAGAAGAUUGAAGUCCCAUGUGGCAGUUCUGUGGUGUGUCUCAAUUUGGAGGAGGAUGCCCAAGUGAAUAGAUAGGACACUUCUGGCAACUCUCUGACAUUUGAAGAUCGCACUACUCAAUUUCUUCCAUCCAGCUCCAAGAGUUCCUCGCAUGCCGGGCGUAGCACCUGGAAACUGGUUUAACUGACGAUGGUCAAGAUUCAUUCGUAGAGCUCUCAAAUUCUUCCAAGCAAUGUUUGAAUAUGCUUUGCAGUCGAGAUAAAGAUGGGGCUUUGUGCUUUAGUAUAUUUGGUGUCUUUCCAAUCAGAAAUGUUGCCGAAAGAAGGUCGACUCCCGGGGACGACCAUGACUCGACCGUGGUAGACUUCCUGUGCUCGCUUGGAUUCCCAUCAAGACUUGUCCUAGAGAUUUCCAAGGGCGGACAUCACCGUCAUUAUGCCUGAUUCUAGAAGUCUCCUUUCAUUAAUGUCGGUAGCUAGUAGUUAAACAUUUAUGUCGGUAGUUGAGACGGUGCGAUCUCAUCCGCCGGUUAAAUUCUAGAUCAAUGGUUGUAACCCGAGGCCCUCGACUAUAAGAAAUGGUGUCAUUCCUCAUUUGUAAGCAUCCACUACUUCCGCAAU